AUUAUAUCAAGAAGACCAAAACUCUCUCUUUCUCUCUCACGAAACCAUCACCAAAACCCAUGGUGGGUUCCAAAUUUCUUGUUGAAAUCGUUGUUAGCCAUCUCUAUUGUCUCUAUAAAGAUCCAAAUAUCAAAGGCACCAUCCAUUUUGAGGGAUUUUGGAGGAGAAAAACCAUGGAUCUAAAGCUAGAUCGAGGUUAUCAAUAGCAAUGGCUGGAGGAAAAUAAGCUUUAGAGGCGGUAAGAUUCGUGACGCUUAGAGGAUGUGUAUCGAUGGUGAAUGGAGUCAAGGGGCCGAGCGUUAUUCGAUUCGAGGAUGUAGUCUUGUAUUUACUUUUUUAUGGUUUUACAUGUAUUUUCCGCAUUUUCUAUGUAACUCUUUUCACUUUAAGUUAUUUUUGUUUUAAAGACAAUGGGUACCCAUAUCCUACUUAUUUUUAUGAAAGUAACAUUUGUUUCUACAAGUUUAUAAU